UACGUAGGGCGCAAGCGUUGUCCGGAUUUAUUGGGCGUAAAGAGCGUGUAGGCGGCUUGGUAGGUCCGCUGUGAAAACUCGAGGCUCAACCUCGAGAUGUCGGCGGAAACCACUUGGCUAGAGUCCGGAAGAGGAGAGUGGAAUUCCUGGUGUAGCGGUGAAAUGCGCAGAUAUCAGGAAGAACACCUAUGGCGAAGGCAGCUCUCUGGGACGGUACUGACGCUGAGACGCGAAAGCGUGGGGAGCGAACAGG
rnacentral:rRNA from 1 species